CAUUACCGAAUUGUCAACAAGAGUUGUUGCUGGUCCCCAAAUGGGGACACGUGCACGCUCUGUUAACACAUCCACUCACACCCUGUGCACCCUCUGUAGUUCUAUGGUUGGGGGGGACCUGUCCUCUCCUGCUGUGGUUCUGCAUCUUUACAUACACACUGUAACAAAGUCUUAUGGAAUGCAUGCCGCGUUUAACGCAAUAAAAUACAACUUUCAGCAACGGAUCUCUUGGCUCUCGCAUCGAUGAAGAACGCAGCGAAAUGCGAUAAGUAAUGUGAAUUGCAGAAUUCAGUGAAUCAUCGAAUCUUUGAACGCACCUGGCGCCCUUUGGUAUUCCGAAGGGCAUGCCUGUUUGAGUAUCAUGAACACCUCAACUCUUCAUGGUUUUCCAUGAUGAGCUUGGACUUUGGGGGUCUUGCUGGCCUGCGGUCAGCUCCUCUCAAAUGAAUCAGCUUACCAGUGUUUGGUGGGCAUCACAGGUGUGAUAACUAUCUGCGCUUGUGGUUUUCCACCAAGUAACCUUCAGCAGUGGAGGUUCACUGGAGCUCACAGACGUCUCUCCUCAGUGAGGACAGCCCUUUGAAUGUUUG
rnacentral:rRNA from 1 species